AUGACAGGUUUCUCCUCACAGCUGGAGAACUGUCUCAUGUUAGCUUUUUUAGCUCUAAAGGCCCAGAGAGAAACCAGGAGCACUAUUGCUGUAUGUGGUGGGAGACCAGCAGUCAAAGACAUGGAUCUAAAGCAUGGACACCAAAGAACAGUCUCUAAAGGAAGUCCAGAUGCUAAAUGGGAGAAAUCAAAGAAUGCUGGAGUGGGAAGGAACCACAGAGAAUUCAAUGGCGUCAUUUUACAGACAUGCAGUUGGGAGGAAGGUACUGAAACAAAGGGAGAUACUAAGGACACUAAGACAUCUGUUCCAAUGAAAAAUGAGAAAUAA
rnacentral:lncRNA from 1 species